rnacentral:rRNA from 1 species
AUGAACGCUGGCGGCGUGCCUAAUACAUGCCCGUCGAGCGAACAGAUGAGGAGCUUGCUCCUCUGACGUUAGCGGCGGACGGGUGAGUAACACGUGGAUAACCUACCUAUAAGACUGGGAUAACUUCGGGAAACCGGAGCUAAUACCGGAUAAUAUAUUGAACCGCAUGGUUCAAUAGUGAAAGACGGUUUUGCUGUCACUUAUAGAUGGAUCCGCGCCGCAUUAGCUAGUUGGUAAGGUAACGGCUUACCAAGGCAACGAUGCGUAGCCGACCUGAGAGGGUGAUCGGCCACACUGGAACUGAGACACGGUCCAGACUCCUACGGGAGGCAGCAGUAGGGAAUCUUCCGCAAUGGGCGAAAGCCUGACGGAGCAACGCCGCGUGAGUGAUGAAGGUCUUCGGAUCGUAAAACUCUGUUAUUAGGGAAGAACAAAUGUGUAAGUAACUAUGCACGUCUUGACGGUACCUAAUCAGAAAGCCACGGCUAACUACGUG